GACGAACCGAGCGACCGUUGUUCGGAAUCACUGGGCUUAAAGGGCGCGUAGGCGGGUCUUCAAGUCUAUGGUGAAAUCCGGCAGCUCAACUGUCGAAUUGCCGUGGAUACUGGGUAUCUCGAGGGAGGUAGGGGCGUGCGGAACUAAUGGUGGAGCGGUGAAAUGCGUUGAUAUCCUUAGGAACGCCGGUGGCGAAGGCGGCACGCUGGACCUCUUCUGACGCUGAGGCGCGAAAGCCAGGGGAGCAAACGGG
rnacentral:rRNA from 1 species